UACAGAGGGGGCAAGCGUUGUUCGGAAUUACUGGGCGUAAAGGGCGCGUAGGCGGCCUGUUAAGUCGAACGUGAAAUCCCCGGGCUCAACCCGGGAACUGCGUCCGAUACUGGCAGGCUUGAAUCCGGGAGAGGGAUGCGGAAUUCCAGGUGUAGCGGUGAAAUGCGUAGAUAUCUGGAGGAACACCUGUGGCGAAAGCGGCUCACUGGACCACAACUGACGCUGAGGCGCGAAAGCUAGGGGAGCAAACAGG
rnacentral:rRNA from 1 species